AUUUUGACCUCAAAUCAGGUAAGACUACCCGCUGAACUUAAGCAUAUCAAUAAGCGGAGGAAAAGAAACUAACAAGGAUUCCCCUAGUAACUGCGAGUGAAGCGGGGAAAAAGCUCAAAUUUAAAAUCUGGCGGUCUUUUGGUCGUCCGAGUUGUAAUCUAGAGAAGUGUGACCCGCGCUGGACCGUGUACAAGUCUCCUCAAAA
rnacentral:rRNA from 1 species